rnacentral:rRNA from 1 species
CAGUAGCCGCGGGAAUACAGAGGGUGCGAGCGUUAAUCGGAUUUACUGGGCGUAAAGCGUGCGUAGGCGGCUUUUUAAGUCGGAUGUGAAAUCCCUGAGCUUAACUUAGGAAUUGCAUUCGAUACUGGGAAGCUAGAGUAUGGGAGAGGAUGGUAGAAUUCCAGGUGUAGCGGUGAAAUGCGUAGAGAUCUGGAGGAAUACCGAUGGCGAAGGCAGCCAUCUGGCCUAAUACUGACGCUGAGGUACGAAAGCAUGGGGAGCAAACAGGAUUAGAUACCCGAGUAGUCCCUGUCUUCUUAUU